AUACGGAAGGUCCGGGCGUUAUCCGGAUUUAUUGGGUUUAAAGGGAGCGCAGGCGGAGAUGCAAGCGUGACGUCAAAUUUCGGGGCUCAACCCCGUCUCGCGUCGCGAACUGCGUCCCUUGGUUGCGGGAAGGGGAGGCGGAACUCGUGGUGUAGCGGUGAAAUGCAUAGAUAUCACGAAGAACUCCGAUCGCGAAGGCAGCCUUCCGGCCCGUCAACGACGCUCAUGCUCGAAGGUGCGGGUAUCAAACAGGAUUAGAUACCCUGGUAGUCCGCACAGUAAACGAUGGACACCCGCGGUGUGGCCUGUAUGGCUGAGCCGCCAAGCGAAAGCGUUAAGUGUCCCACCUGGGGAGUACGCCGGCAACGGUGAAACUCAAAUGAAUUGGCGGGG
rnacentral:rRNA from 1 species